rnacentral:rRNA from 1 species
ACUCCGUGCCAGCAGCCGCGGUAAUACGGAGGGUGCAAGCGUUAAUCGGAACUACUGGGCGUAAAGCGCGCGUAGGUGGCUUGAUAAGCCGGUUGUGAAAGCCCCGGGCUCAACCUGGGAACGGCAUUCGGAACUGUCAAGCUAGAGUGCAGGAGAGGAAGGUAGAAUUCCCGGUGUAGCGGUGAACUGCGUAGAGAUCGGGAGGAAUACCAGUGGCGAAGGCGGCCUUCUGGACUGACACUGACACUGAGGUGCGAAAGCGUGGGUAGCAAACAGGAUUAGAUACCCUGGUAGUCCACGCCGUAAACGAUGUCGACCAGCCGUUGGGUGCCUAGCGCACUUUGUGGCGAAGUUAACGCGAUAAGUCGACCGCCUGGGGAGUACGGCCGCAAGGUUAAAACUCAAAUGAAUUGACGGGGGCCCGCACAAGCGGUGGAGCAUGUGGUUUAAUUCGAUGCAACGCGAAGAACCUUACCUACUCUUGACAUCCUGCGAAUUUGGUAGAGAUACCUUAGUGCCUUCGGGAACGCAGAGACAGGUGCUGCAUGGCUGUCGUCAGCUCGUGUUGUGA